rnacentral:rRNA from 1 species
UACGUAGGUGACAAGCGUUGUCCGGAUUUACUGGGCGUAAAGAGCGCGCAGGCGGUCGUUCAAGUCGAGUGUGAAAGCCCCCGGCUCAACUGGGGAGGGUCAUUCGAUACUGAUCGACUCGAAGGCAGGAGAGGGUAGUGGAAUUCCCGGUGUAGUGGUGAAAUGCGUAGAUAUCGGGAGGAACACCAGUGGCGAAGGCGACUACCUGGCCUGUUCUUGACGCUGAGGCGCGAAAGCUAGGGGAGCGAACAGG